AGACCAUCUGAAAAUCGCGUGCUUGUAACCUCAUUGCACCUGACUUUUAAGAUCGGCGGACGGUUUUUUUUUUCUCUCCAUUGUUUAUGACCUGCGGAACCAGAUAAUGACCUCCGUCUCCCCCGAGAACACUUGCCCCAAGAGUUCCCGAUGGAAUACGCUCUCUAUCGAAGUCUGAAUUGGAAAAGGGAAGAAUGAUGGGGAAUCAAAGCGGGAAGGGAGUGAGGACCAUGGACCAAGCUAAUUGUCCAUUAUGGAUUCAGUUCCUAGAGAACUAGGGGAAGGCUGGAGCCACGGACCUAAGCCGAAAAUCAAUUCAGUCUCAAUUAAAGGAGAUUCACCCUAGUUCAAAUCUCGGAAUUCAAUCUAGCAAGCAUUUAUUAAACACUUACUGUGUGUAAAAAGGGGGAUGAAGAGGACUAUUGUUUACUAAAACAUGUUAUUCACCCCUGAGACAGCAAACCUGGCAGGGGUUACCUUUUUUGGGUCAUGGACUUCUGUGGCAGUCUGAUGAAGCCUAAUAAGACUGUGGCUUGUGGCCUAUAUUCAGAAUUUAAGAAAAUGCUUAAUUUCAGUUACAGAAACUACAGAAGCUGCAGGAAGAACUUUCUACAGGGCAGAUGGCACCAGUGAGAGACUCAGACUAUUCAGACUUGUGAGUCUGUGUCUCAGACCGGAAAAUUCUUUCUCAGAAUUACUCUUCAGUCAUCUAUAUUCCAGGAAGGAAGCACAACUCAGAAGUGGUAUCCAGAUCCUUGAGAUCUUGACUCACCUAGGUGAUCGCAUACUCUUAAUUGCCAUGUGAGAGCUACCAAAAGCAGCUGGAACUCUGGCUCUCCUCCUGCCCCCAGUGGAAAUACCAAAAAGAUAGUUCCCUACCACAUGUUCAGGAAAAAGAGAGAGCCAGUGAAGUCACUCCAUUUUCUACUCAGUGGGCUAUUUUUCCUGGCCCAGUAGCCAAUCUUCUUUAACACAGGAACCCCUUCCUACUAUCAAAGGAGAUUAUUUUGUGAUUGCAAAGCACACUUUCUCUUGCAUUGAAUUACAUGGAUUACUGGAAGUGGUCAAGGGAGCCCAGCUCAGCUACACCCAAGGUCCACAGAGGUGUGCUUUAACUAGAGCAGUUCCAGGUCAGUGAUUAAUUACCCUCAUGGCAAAGACAAUACCUGUGAACAAAAACAAUCCAAUUGAAAAUGGAACCUUCCUUUGAUCAUACUAAAAAAAAAAGGCAGAGAAACUUAGUAGAGUGGGAAUUGAACCUUUGGACAGACAAUAAUACCCAGACUCUCUAGCCUAGCCCUCUUGCUCCAGCCUUUGGAAAACUUGUGAAAAGGAGAAUUAAGAAGCAAAAGGGAAGCAUGCAAGGUAGCUACCCAAGGGCUGCAAUGACAGGGCUGAAAGCCUGGAAAGAAGAUGGAGCAGGGGGAAGCUGGGUAGCUUAGUGG
rnacentral:lncRNA from 1 species